GCGGGACCCGGAAGGCCGAACCGGACCAGGCGGAGGCCCGGGGAGGCCGGGUCCCCUGGUCGCAUGUCCUUCGGCGGGCCGCGAGGGCCGGAGUUAAGAUGAGUCCAGCGAAGUGCCUAGAGUACCAAAUUCAUGGAGACGUUUCCUCUUUGGGGAACACACGCCAACCCCAGAGACAGCUUUGGUCUGAAUCGUGCAGGUUCCGGGAAGACACGGUGACCAGCUGAAUCGUGUGGUCUCGCUGCAGUCUAGUCAUCAGAUAAACAUCAGACAAAUCCCAAUGAAGAAAAUUCUACAAAACAUCUGACUAGUUCUCCUCAAAGGUCAUCAAAACAAGGAAAGUCUGAGAAAUUGUCACAAACGAUAGGAACCUAAAAAGACAUAACGACUCAAUGUAGUGUGGUACCCUUGAUAGAAUACUGGAACAGGAAAAGGAAAUUUUGCAAAAACUAUGGAAAUAUAAAUAAAGUAUGGACUUUAGCUAAUAACAGUGUAUC
rnacentral:lncRNA from 10 species